rnacentral:rRNA from 1 species
AGUAAAAGUCGUAACAAGGUUUCCGUAGGUGAACCUGCGGAAGGAUCAUUAACGAUUGCUACACAUGCUAAGACGAACCGGAUGUUUCUGAUUUUUGACUGGCUUAAACUCCUGACCAGAUCAGGAAGGAUGAUGCCUCUCUCUCGCGCGAGCGAUCAGGUGGCCAUCGUGGUCGUUGUGCGUUUUCGCUGCGAACGAUGUAAAACAAACAACCGAUGGCCUCUCAUACAGUAUAAUAUCUCUCGCCAUGGUAUACAGGCCUGGCAUCUGGUACGAGUCUCUCGCAGUCUCAAAACCAACCUUACAACUCUGAGCGGUGGAUCACUUGGCUUGUGGAUGCUAUGAAGACCAUAGCUAAGUGUGAGAAUGGCAGCGAGCCGUCGCUAUAUGCGCUGUCCUCUUCUUAUCACAUGUCGAAUGCACAUUGCGCCCCACCCAGCGGUCGGCUAAACAACCUGCAGACAAAAGCCUGUGAGUUGGAACAAAGGCAAGUGUGUGGCCCUCGAGCAACGGCGGGGGAGCCAGGAGCACAUGAGCGUGCGGACCAACUACUCGUGAGUAGUCAGGCUUGACCCUAUGGUGGGGCACUCCUAGUCGAGUGUGGUGGAUCGGACUCACAUCUCUUAUUGCGCUUUUGCGCGAUGGAGUUUGAGUUUCUUUGUUGCUGGUGGCAUUUGGGUCGACAUCAGUCGUGCCCGUAAACAACUGCCUUGGCUCGUGCCUCUGUGCGUCGUAUUACCUCUUGGGGGGUGCGUACAUUGAAGGCCAUAGCUGGCGAUCACUCUUGCGGCCAGGGCACUACCUUUGCCUGGUUAAUGGCUACGGUAGGGCGCACAGGUCCAAAAGGAUAUGGUAAUACGAGAGUCGGGUCUCUGGUACUCUGACCCGCCUUCGCACGGUGUGCGGAGUGGCGAAUCGAUAUCCCUGCGUAUACGCUUCUCUGGUAAAGGUUUGUCUCUCGUAGUAUUCGAGAAUGACACAAACCUCAUUCUUUCGUUCACACACAUGCUGGCAGACGAAGAAACUCUUGACGAGAUCAGGACGGAUUUUCUAACAGUGUGAACAAAGUACCAGAUUGGCCUGCAGUAUCGCUCCACUCCAGAAGCAGCCGCUUGCAGGCGUCGGUAUGAGAGAGACCUGGCUGCUUGUAUUUGUAAUGGCCACCACCUCGACUUAGGAGAGGUUACCCGCUGAACUUAAGCAUAUCAGUAAGCGGAGGAAAAGAAACCAAUCAGGGAUUCCCUUAGUAGGGGCGACCGAACAGGGAUGAGCCCAGCGCAGAACCUCCCGGGCCACCCGGCCUGCGGCGGAAUGUUGCGUUAAGGGAAAGGUCGUAGUCAAACCCCACAGCCACGCGAGCUCUAAGUAAGUCACGAAUUGGCUAUCCCAACUAACGGCGGGAAAAUCUCCACGGAGGGUGUAAGACCCGUGUGGGCGCGUGCAAAUGCUGUGUGGGCUCGGCCUCUUUUCCCUGAGAGUCGCGUUGCUUGAGCAUGCAGCGCUAAGCAGGUCGUAAACUCGAUCUAAGGCUAAAUAUGUCCACAAGACCGAUAGCGAACAAGUACCGUGAGGGAAAGUUGAAAAGCACUCUGAAGAGAG